GGGAAUUCCUGAGUUGGAAGAUGAAGAAGAGAAACAUUCAUAUCAUGCAAGUGAAGAAUCUGAAGAUUCAGAAUAUGACUUUGAUGACCCUCCUGCAGAUACUUUGGUUCGAAGUUUUGAAAAUCUUAAUAGGGUACAAGAUCAUGUUGCGCCUAGUGCGUCACCUGCUAUGCCUUCUACUGUAAGUGCAGCUUCCGAGACUGAGUUAUUUAAUGGGGAGAAAAGUAACUCUCCUGAUUUGUCACCGUUGAGAACUCAAUCCUCAGCCCUGGCUGUUUCAUCUGAAACAAAGAAAACAAAUGUAAGAGAAGAUCGAACUGAAAAUAAGAUUUCCCCCAAGGACUUCUUUUCUAGCAUAAAGGAUGUUGAAAAUCUGUUCAUAAAAGCUUCUGAUGCUGGGAAAGAAGUUCCAAGGAUGCUUGAAGCAAAUAAGUUGCAUUUCCGUCCAAUAAUUGCAGCAAAAGAAAGUAUGGUUAAUCUCUUAGCUUCUGCCAUCAGUAUAUCUGC
rnacentral:misc_RNA from 1 species